AUUGAACGCUGGCGGCAGGCCUAACACAUGCAAGUCGAACGAGUGGCGGACGGGUGAGUAAUGUCUGGGAAACUGCCUGAUGGAGGGGGAUAACUACUGGAAACGGUAGCUAAUACCGCAUACCAUAAGAUGUGCCCAGAUGGGAUUAGCUAGUUGGUGGGGUAACGGCUCACCAAGGCGACGAUCCCUAGCUGGUCUGAGAGGAUGACCAGCACCACUGGAACUGGGACACGGUCCAGACUCCUACGGGGGGCAGCGGGGGGGAAUAUUGAAAAAUGGGCGAAAGCCGGAUGCAGCCAUGCCGGGUGUAUGAAGAGGGCCUUGGGGUUGUAAAGUACUUUCGGCGGGGAGGCGUUACCCGCAGAAGAGGCACCGGCAAACUCCGGGCCAGCAGCCGCGGUAAUA
rnacentral:rRNA from 1 species